UCGUUUCCUAUUCUUGAGAACCAAAACCAACCAAUAAGAAAGUGGGCGACGCCUACUGCUGAGUGAUUCGAUCAAGCUCCGUUCCGAAGGAACUGGUUUCGGUCCGGGGGAUUCAGCAGUAAACAAAAGUCCUUGCCUUCGUGGAGAUUCCAUUCUGAUGGGGAGAGACAAAAAUAAAUGAGGAAAAUAUGUGGUAGAAGCAACAGUGAAAAUCACGACGGUGAGAUCAAGCAAAGCAGAUGGACUGAAGGACAAGGACGACUGCCCAGCAGAGGGAGGGAAAGCCCGGGCUGGACUCCACGUCGCCGGAGCUCCCAGAGUUGUUUCCAGCCACUGCUAUGAGCCCAUCUAAAUGAAAUCGUGAGGACUAAGGAGAGGGGCACCCAUGACUGCCUUCAUCCACCCCCACAUCAUCUUUUCACCCAUCCACCCAUCCUUACUGCAGACCUUACUGGGCACCUGUGCCAGGAGAUGGUCACUGCCCAUCAGAAGCUCGUACAGGGAGAAGCAGUGGCCACAGCAGGAAGCAGAAGUUUGCUUGGUAAACUUGGAAUCGGAACCUGGGAAUUGGGCCACUGGGAUAUUCAAUGGCGUCAGACCGGUGUAGCUGAUACUCCUGGACAGAGGGGCCCUGCCAACUGGACAGAUGUGUGAAGUGUUGCUGACCGAGCUCCUUGCUCUGUGUGGGAGGGAGCUUGCCAGCUCCAGCCUUGUGGGUCUCCUUUUUCUAUUUCCAAGCUUAAAUAAGCACUUGGCUGUUCUGAUUAGCAUUUUUAAAAGCUGUGUUAAUAAGUUCAAUUAAAAUAGAAGAAUCUCUCAUUCUGUCAUAUCAGGGUUUUUUUUAAUUGCAAA